GAUGAAGAACGUAGCGAAAUGCGAUAAGUAAUGUGAAUUGCAGAAUUCAGUGAAUCAUCGAUUCUUUGAACGCACAUUGCGCCCGCGAGUAUUCUCGCGGGCAUGCCUGUCCGAGCGUCAUUUCAACCCUCAGGGCCCGCCUGCUUCGGCAGGCGCGGCGCUGGUGUUGGGGAUCGGCCUAACCGCCGUCCCCCAAAUACAGUGGCGGUCUCGCUGCAGCCUCCCCUGCGUAGUAGCAACACUCGCAUGCGGAGCGCGGCGCGGCCACGCCGUAAAACCCCCGACUUUCUGAACGUUGACCUCGGAUCAGGUAGGAAUACCCGCUGAACUUAAGCAUAUCAAUAAGCGGAGGA
rnacentral:misc_RNA from 1 species